rnacentral:lncRNA from 1 species
UCCAACUUCUAGGCCAUCCUCCCCAGCCACUGCUCAUUCACCUUGCGUGAACAAUGCUGUACAUUAAAUACAUUGAAAGUUCAGGGAAGGAAGAGAUCAGUGCAGGCUAGAAAAACUGAGUAUUUCAUGGAGCAGACCUGAAAAUUAGUUUUAAAACAAUUUCCUUCCAUUUAACUAAGAUUGGUCAGAGGAAAAAAGAUUUCAAUAGCAAGGAAGGAAUUUAUAUUUAUACAAACACUGUCUAUUUUAAGUUCGUGUUCCUCAACAUCCUUUGGAAAUGGGAGAACAGAGUUUGAAAGCACACAAACCAGGGUGUUAA